CCUGACUGCUAUCGGAUUGAUACUAAGCCAUGCGAGUCAUUGUAGUAAUACAAGGCAGACGGCUCAGUAACGCGUAGUCAACCUAACCUAUGGACGGGAAUAACCUCGGGAAACUGAGAAUAAUGCCCGAUAGAACAUUAUGCCUGGAAUGGUUUAUGUUCCAAACGAUUUAUCGCCAUAGGAUGGGACUGCGGCCUAUCAGUUUGUUGGUGAGGUAAUGGCCCACCAAGACUAUUACAGGUACGGGCUCUGAGAGGAGUAGCCCGGAGAUGGGUACUGAGACACGGACCCAGGCCCUAUGGGGCGCAGCAGGCGAGAAAACUUUGCAAUGUGCGAAAGCACGACAAGGUUAAUCCGAGUGGUUUCUGCUAAAGGAACCUUUUGUCAGUCCUAAAAACACUAACGAAUAAGGGGUGGGCAAGUUCUGGUGUCAGCCGCCGCGGUAAAACCAGCACCUCAAGUGGUCAGGAUGAUUAUUGGGCCUAAAGCAUCCGUAGCCGGCUCUGUAAGUUUUCGGUUAAAUCUGUACGCUCAACGUACAGGCUGCCGGAAAUACUGCACAGCUAGGGAGUGGGAGAGGUAGACGGUACUCGGUAGGAAGGGGUAAAAUCCUUUGAUCUAUUGAUGACCACCUGUGGCGAAGGCGGUCUACCAGAACACGUCCGACGGUGAGGGAUGAAAGCUGGGGGAGCAAACCGGAUUAGAUACCCGGGUAGUCCCAGCUGUAAACUAUGCAAACUCAGUGAUGCAUUGGCUUAUGGCCAAUGCAGUGCUGCAGGGAAGCCGUUAAGUUUGCCGCCUGGGAAGUACGUACGCAGUAUGAWACUUAAAGGAAUUGGCGGGGGAGCACACAGGGUGAAKCCUGCGGUC
rnacentral:rRNA from 1 species